UAGGAUUCUAGAAAGGUCGAAAAAGAAUUCUUACUACAAAGAAUAAGUAUCGCAAUUCAACGUCGCAAUGCAGCAUCUGUUAUGGGAACAUUCCCCGAUGGAAAAGCGUUGGAUGAAAUUUUUAAUUUG